GACACACGACGGUGUUUAUUUCUCUCACUCCGUUGUCAUUUCGAACCUUAUGCGUUCUAUCUAACAUGGAAGGUCGAAUUAGGAAUACUCAAUGGAGGACAAUUGAAACAGUGGGCCUACUACACAGAGGUCAUUUUCUCCAAUUUGAUAGUAGUGGAUUAUAAUAUACUGUUUCAGAUGCGUUACAAACAAGUGCCAGUGCAGUUAUAUCAUCUUCAGUCAAUGCUCUUACAAAGGUAAAAUGAGUGUAUGAGUACGAUAUUGCUAGGUGGAAGAAAACACGUGGAACGAAGAUAAUGGAGGAGGUAGACCGGCGAGGCCAAAACCCUACUGGGAUUUGUUUGGCCAAUCCAAUAAGUUCUGGAUGCCUCGGAGAAGUCAGAAUAAUUUAUUUUGAAAAUUUGCAGGCCCC